rnacentral:rRNA from 1 species
CGUAGGGGGCAAGCGUUGUCCGGAUUUAUUGGGCGUAAAGAGCGUGUAGGCGGCCAGGCAGGUCCGCUGUGAAAACUCGAGGCUCAACCUCGAGAGGUCGGUGGAAACCGUCUGGCUAGAGUCCGGAAGAGGAGAGUGGAAUUCCCGGUGUAGCGGUGAAAUGCGCAGAUAUCGGGAGGAACACCCGUGGCGAAGGCGGCUCUCUGGGACGGUACUGACGCUGAGACGCGAAAGCGUGGGGAGCGAACAGGAUUAGAUACCCUGGUAGUCCACGCCGUAAACGAUGGGCGCUAGGUGUGGGCGGUGUCGACUCCGUCCGUGCCGAAGCUAACGCAUUAAGCGCCCCGCCUGGGGAGUACGGCCGCAAGGCUA